CGAUGAGCCACCCCUGCUGCUCUGUGUCCCCUUCCCCGCCUGCCUCCCUUCCACUGCCACACUGGAGACCACUGUGUUAGGGUGUGCGGGCACCAGGACAGACAGGAGCUCAGGACCAGGACAGACAGGAGCUCAGGACAUACUGCUCUUGCCCCUGCCAUCCUGAACUAGCCUCAUGGCUCUCUGCAUGUACGGGCUUCUCACCUCCCAUCUCCUCUCCCAAGCUGAGAUCGCACUUCCCCAGCGGAUGGCUAAAUGUCAGUACCCAGCCAAGUCCCUGGCUGUACCAGGGAUUGUGGGAUGCCCAUGAAACUGGAUACCUAGAGAGGGGCUUGGGGGGACCCUUGCUCUUCUGACCUAGGCUGUGUGUCCUUGGGACAGAUUCUGGGCUCUGGGGACAGAGAGACAAGGCAGUUCCUCUGACCGGGAGAAGUGUGGAGCCAUCCUCAGCAGGGUUCUGGGAGCUGAGUCUCCACUCUGUCACCUUGGGGCAACCCAGGUGAGUUCCAGCAUCUGCGUGUGUAAGCUGUCAGGCAUGAAGGAGAAGGUAGAGAAACCUCCAGGCACAAAUAGGGACAAACUCAGGGUGGGUGGUCCUGCAAGUAGUGGCCCAAUGGAAGUGGGCUGGGUGGCGUGCCGUUCAGGACAAUCCACCAGGAUAACACACAAUUUGGGUGAAAGGGAGGAGGCAGAGGCCAGAGAAGGGCAGGUGUGUCCUAGGCCUGUCCUAUCUGCAGCCGCCCUCUGCCCACAGGUCCUCCUGCAGGAACAGGGUCGGCGGCAGCUGGAGCAACUCUGGGCCCAGCACUGCUCCCAGGCCUUGCUCACCCUGCGUCGUCGGGGCCUCCAUGCCUGCAUCUCCGGACAGCAGCUCCGCCCCCUGCCCCGGCUGCAGGCUCUCAUCCAUGGGCUCCAGGCCAGGAAGCGAUACCUCGGACGGCACGCAGCUAUGGCUCAGCUGAACACUGUACUCCUGGUGGCCCGGCCCCUGCUCCAGAGGCGGCAGAGGCUGAAGGUGACGGAGUCUGGGCAGGCAGACUGAAAAGACUCAAGGCAGAAGCCAGGCAGCCUGCUCUGGCCAGUUGCUGAGCCCCGACGCUCAGCCUAAGAGCCCAG
rnacentral:lncRNA from 1 species